UGGGGAAUAUUGCGCAAUGGAGGAAACUCUGACGCAGCGACGCCGCGUGGGUGAUGAAGGCCUUCGGGUUGUAAAGCCCUGUCGGUUGGGAAAUGGUACCAGCAAAGGAAGUAGCGGCUAACUCUGUGCCAGCAGCCGCGGUAAUACAGAGGCUACGAGCGUUGUUCGGAAUUACUGGGCGUAAAGGGCGCGUAGGCGGUCUCGCAAGUCAGAUGUGAAUCCCGGGGCUUAACUCCGGAAGUGCAUUUGAAACUACGGGCUAGAGUGCAGUAGAGGUUGGUGGAAUUCCCAGUGGAGAGGUGAAAUUCGUAGAUAUUGGGAGGAACACCGGUGGCGAAGGCGGCCAACUGGGCUGUAAUGACGCUGAGGCGCGAAGCGUGGGUAGCAAACAGGAUUAGAUACCCUUGUAGU
rnacentral:rRNA from 1 species